rnacentral:rRNA from 1 species
AGAGUUUGAUCCUGGCUCAGAAUGAACGCUGGCGGCGUGCCUAACACAUGCAAGUCGAACGAGAAAGUCCCUUCGGGGAUGAGUAUAGUGGCGCACGGGUGAGUAACGCGUGGGUAAUCUACCUUUGGAUUUGGGAUAACUUCGCGAAAGCGUAGCUAAUACCGGAUAGUCUGGCUUUAAUUAAUAAGUUGGUAAAGGGUGCCUCUAUUUAUACGCAUUCGUCCAAAGAUGAGCCCGCGUCUCAUUAGCUAGUUGGUGGGGUAAAGGCCUACCAAGGCAACGAUGAGUAACUGGUCUGAGAGGAUGAUCAGUCACACUGGAACUGAAACGCGGUCCAGACUCCUACGGGAGGCAGCAGUGGGGAAUAUUGCGCAAUGGGCGAAAGCCUGACGCAGCAACGCCGUGUGAGGGAUGAAGGUUCUCGGAUCGUAAACCUCUGUCAGAAGGGAAGAACGGUUAUAGGUCUAACAGGCCCGUAAAUUGACGGUACCUUCAAAGGAAGCACCGGCUAACUCCGUGCCAGCAGCCGCGGUAAUACGGAGGAUCCUAGUGUUAUCCGGAUUUAUUGGGUUUAAAGGGAGCGUAGGCGGGAGGUCAAGUCAGCUGUGAAAUGUAUCUGCUUAACGGGUACACUGCAGUUGAAACUGGUUUUCUUGAGUGCGUAAGAGGCAGGCGGAAUUCGUUGUGUAGCGGUGAAAUGCUUAGAUAUGACGAGGAACUCCUAUUGCGAAGGCAGCUUGCUGGGUCGUUACUGACGCUGAUGCUCGAAGGUGCGGGGAUCAAACAGGAUUAGAUACCCUGGUAGUCCGCACAGUAAACUAUGGAUACUCUCUGCCGGCGAUACAUUGUCGGUGGCCAAGCGAAAGCGUUAAGUAUCCCACCUGGGGAGUACGUUCGCAAGAAUGAAACUCAAAGGAAUUGACGGGGGCCCGCACAAGCGGAGGAACAUGUGGUUUAAUUCGAUGAUACGCGAGGAACCUUACCCGGGUUUGAAUUGCUGAUGGCGGUAUUUGGAGACAGAUACUUCCCUUCGGGGCGUCAGUGAAGGUGCUGCAUGGUUGUCGUCAGCUCGUGCCGUGAGGUGUCGGCUUAAGUGCCAUAACGAGCGCAACCCCCGCCGUUAGUUGCCAUCGGGUCAUGCCGGGCACUCUAUUGGGACUGCCAUCGUAAGAUGUGAGGAAGGUGGGGAGGACGUCAAAUCAGCACGGCCCUUAUGUCCGGGGCGACACACGUGUUACAAUGGGGGGUACAGUGGGAAGCUACCUGGCGACAGGUUGCGGAUCCCCAAAUCCUUUCUCAGUUCGGAUCGGAGUCUGUAACUCGACUCCGUGAAGUUGGAUUCGCUAGUAAUCGCGCAUCAGCCAUGGCGCGGUGAAAAAAAUCCCGGGC